rnacentral:rRNA from 1 species
ACGGGAGGCAGCAGUAGGGAAUCUUCGGCAAUGGACGGAAGUCUGACCGAGCAACGCCGCGUGAGUGAAGAAGGUUUUCGGAUCGUAAAGCUCUGUUGUAAGAGAAGAACGAGUGUGAGAGUGGAAAGUUCACACUGUGACGGUAUCUUACCAGAAAGGGACGGCUAACUACGUGCCAGCAGCCGCGGUAAUACGUAGGUCCCGAGCGUUGUCCGGAUUUAUUGGGCGUAAAGCGAGCGCAGGCGGUUAGAUAAGUCUGAAGUUAAAGGCUGUGGCUUAACCAUAGUACGCUUUGGAAACUGUUUAACUUGAGUGCAAGAGGGGAGAGUGGAAUUCCAUGUGUAGCGGUGAAAUGCGUAGAUAUAUGGAGGAACACCGGUGGCGAAAGCGGCUCUCUGGCUUGUAACUGACGCUGAGGCUCGAAAGCGUGGGGAGCAAACAGGAUUAGAUACCCUGGUAGUCCACGCCGUAAACGAUGAGUGCUAGGUGUUAGACCCUUUCCGGGGUUUAGUGCCGCAGCUAACGCAUUAAGCACUCCGCCUGGGGAGUACGACCGCAAGGUUGAAACUCAAAGGAAUUGACGGGGGCCCGCACAA